UACGGAGGAUGCGAGCGUUAUCCGGAUUUAUUGGGUUUAAAGGGUGCGUAGGCGGUAUUUUAAGUUAGUGGUAAAACGUCGGGGCUUCACCUUGAUUGGCCAUUAAAACUGGAGUACUAGAGUACAGACGAGGUAGGCGGAAUAAGUUAAGUAGCGGUGAAAUGCUUAGAUAUAACUUAGAACCCCGAUAGCGAAGGCAGCUUACCAGACUGUUACUGACACUGAAGCACGAGAGCGUGGGUAGCGAACAGG
rnacentral:rRNA from 1 species